GUGCUCGCUUCAGCAGCACAUAUACUAAAAUUGGAACGAUACAGAGAAGAUUAGCAUGGCCCCUGCACAAGGAUGACACGCAAAUUCGUGAAGUGUUGGAGAGAGUU
rnacentral:snRNA from 1 species